AUACGGAGGGGGUUAGCGUUGUUCGGAAUUACUGGGCGUAAAGCGCGCGUAGGCGGAUUGGAAAGUUGGGGGUGAAAUCCCGGGGCUCAACCCCGGAACGGCCUCCAAAACUCCCAGUCUUGAGUUCGAGAGAGGUGAGUGGAAUUCCGAGUGUAGAGGUGAAAUUCGUAGAUAUUCGGAGGAACACCAGUGGCGAAGGCGGCUCACUGGCUCGAUACUGACGCUGAGGUGCGAAAGUGUGGGGAGCAAACAGGAUUAGAUACCCUGGUAGUCCACACCGUAAACGAUGAAUGCCAGUCGUCGGAUAGCAUGCUAUUCGGUGACACACCUAACGGAUUAAGCAUUCCGCCUGGGGAGUACGGUCGCAAGAUUAAA
rnacentral:rRNA from 1 species